rnacentral:misc_RNA from 1 species
GAUGAAGAACGUAGCGAAAUGCGAUAAGUAAUGUGAAUUGCAGAAUUCAGUGAAUCAUCGAGUCUUUGAACGCACAUUGCGCCCCCUGGUAUUCCCGGGGGCAUGCCUGUCCGAGCGUCAUUGCUGCCCUCAAGCACGGCUUGUGUGUUGGGCCCCCGUCCCCGGUUUCCCCCGGGGACGGGCCCGAAAGGCAGCGGCGGCACCGCGUCCGGUCCUCGAGCGUAUGGGGCUUUGUCACCCGCUCUGUAGGCCCGGCCGGCGCCAGCCGACACCCAACUUUAUUUCUAAGGUUGACCUCGGAUCAGGUAGGGAUACCCGCUGAACUUAAGCAUAUCAAUAAGCGGAGGA